AUUUGAGAGUUUGAUCCUGGCUCAGGAUGAACGCUAGCUACAGGCUUAACACAUGCAAGUCGAGCGGAAACGAUGAUAGCUUGCUAUCAGGCGUCGAGCGGCGGACGGGUGAGUAAUGCUUAGGAAUCUGCCCAGUAGUGGGGGACAACAGUCGGAAACGGCUGCUAAUACCGCAUACGCCCUA
rnacentral:rRNA from 17 species